rnacentral:rRNA from 2 species
GAGGACCGAACCGACUAAUGUUGAAAAAUUAGCGGAUGACCUGUGGCUGGGGGUGAAAGGCCAAUCAAACCGGGAGAUAGCUGGUUCUCCCCGAAAGCUAUUUAGGUAGCGCCUCGUGAAUUCAUCUCCGGGGGUAGAGCACUGUUUCGGCUAGGGGGCCAUCCCGGCUUACCAACCCGAUGCAAACUGCGAAUACCGGAGAAUGUUAUCACGGGAGACACACGGCGGGUGCUAACGUCCGUCGUGAAGAGGGAAACAACCCAGACCGCCAGCUAAGGUCCCAAAGUCAUGGUUAAGUGGGAAACGAUGUGGGAAGGCCCAGACAGCCAGGAUGUUGGCUUAGAAGCAGCCAUCAUUUAAAGAAAGCGUAAUAGCUCACUGGUCGAGUCGGCCUGCGCGGAAGAUGUAACGGGGCUAAACCAUG